CUCCGGGUGAUCCCGCCGGACCUGACUGCUAUCGGAUUGGUACUAAGCCAUGCGAGUCGUUGUAGCAAUACAAGGCGGACGGCUCAGUAACACGUAGUCAACCUAACCUAUGGACGUGGAUAACCUCGGGAAACUGAGAAUAAACCGCGAUAGAUCAUUAUGCCCGGAAUGGCUUAUGGUUCAAACAAUUUAUUGCCGUAGGAUGGGACUGCGGCCUAUCAGCUUGUUGGUGAGGUAAUGGCCCACCAAGGCUAUAACAGGUACGGGCUCUGAGAGGAGAAGCCCGGAGAUGGGUACUGAGACACGGACCCAGGCCCUAUGGGGCGCAGCAGGCGAGAAACCUUAGCAAUGUGCGAAAGCACGACUAGGUUAAUCCGAGUGAUUUCUGUUGAAGAAAUCUUUUGUCAGUCGUAAAACCACAGACGAAUAAGGGGUGGGCAAGUCUGGUGUCAGCCGCCGCGGUAAUACCAGCACCUCGAGUGGUCAGGAGGUUUAUUGGGCCUAAAGCAUCCGUAGCCGGCUACGCAAGUCUCCGGUUAAAUCCAGCUGCUCAACAGAUGGGCUGCCGGAGAUACUACAUAGCUAGGGAGCGGGAGAGGUAGACGGUAUUCUGUGGGUAGGGGUAAAAUCCACUGAUCCAUAGAGGACCACCAGUGGCGAAGGCGGUCUACCAGAACGCGUUCGACGGUGAGGGAUGAAAGCUGGGGGAGCAAACCGGAUUAGAUACCCGGGUAGUCCCAGCUGUAAACGAUGCAAACUCGGUGAUGCAUUGGCUUAUGGCCAAUGCAGUGCCGCAGGGAAGCCGUUAAGUUUGCCGCCUGGGAAGUACGGACGCAAGUCUGAAACUUAAAGGAUUGGCGGGGGAGCA
rnacentral:rRNA from 1 species